AUCACUUGUAAUCCAAAAAAGCUCCAUUUCUUUCUUAUACGCUAAUUCACUAUUAAAUAGAAAUGUAUAUGCAAAACAGCGAGAAAUUUGUAGAUACGUUGAAUGUUGUUGCUUUCACAUUUGCAACUCUUAGUAGUUGUUCAAAACAACAAUGUCGAGCAAAGAUGUUUGCGAUGUUUGAAUGAUUCUUGGAUUGUAUUUGGAUUCCAUCGGUACUAUGGCCUGUUGAUUCGGCACCUUUGUCAUUUUAGCAACUUUUGUUUUCUUUUCUGUGUCGAUGUAGUUCUCUAUACCAUAUUCAUGUUCAUAUCAAUGUCCAUAUCAAGGUCCAUAUCAAUGUCCAUAUCAAUUUCCCAUGUUCCAUUACAUAUCCCGUGUUCUUUCCUUCUUCCAGCUUUUACAUGCUAGCCUUUUAUACAAUGAUUCCUCUCAUCUCGACUCGUUUGAUGAAUGGGCGUUUAGUUUUUGCAACAACAUAUGCGUUGGGUUAUCUCAUAUCGGGAAACACUUUCUGCCACUUUUAACUUGAACAAAGUUGGAGAAAUAAAGUGAUGGCAGAUAUUGCAAGUUGUUUAUAGUGUGCCUGUAGAAAUGUAAAAACGCUAUGUUUCGUGAAUGCCCAGCCUGUAAAUCGAAAUAAGAUUUCGUAUUUAUUAAGCAUUGGAAGAUCACAAUUGUGACUUUGGUGGGUUUCGUAAAGAACAUCAUAUAGAUUUCUUUGACCAAGUGUAAUAAAGCAAAACACAC
rnacentral:sRNA from 1 species